rnacentral:tRNA from 4 species
GCGGGAGUAAUUCAGCGGUAGAAUGUCAGCUUCCCAAGCUGAACGUCGCGGGUUCGAUCCCCGUCUCCCGCUCCA